GAUGAAGAACGUAGCGAAAUGCGAUAAGUAAUGUGAAUUGCAGAAUUCAGUGAAUCAUCGAAUCUUUGAACGCAUCUUGCGCUCCUUGGUAUUCUGAGGAGCAUGCCUGUUUGAGUGUCAUUAAAUUCUCAACUACACUGACUUUGAAUUGGUGUGGCUUGGAUUUGGGGGGAAAAUUGUUGUGGGCUUUUUGUAUAGUCUGCUCCCCUGAAAUUGAUUAGCGGUACCUUUGUGGAACUGUCUACAGGUGUGAUAAUUGUCUACAUCUUAGACAUCUGCUGGAAUGCUGCUUUCUAAACCUUACUUGUAUUGACAAUCUUGACCUCAAAUCAGGUAGGACUACCCGCUGAACUUAAGCAUAUCAAUAAGCGGAGGA
rnacentral:misc_RNA from 1 species